UGGGAGGGUGGGAGGCAGACGUGCCAAGGCACUGCUCUGAGUGAGAGGCUGGAGAAGAAGGCGGCUGCAAGGACAAGCCCACACCAGGACACCUGUGGCUGCGGCCACUGGGUUGUGUCCGGAAACAGACUGCACCCCAGGUGAGCGCGUGUGCACCAGCCUCUCCGCACCGAGGCCUGGCACAGGGCCCGGAGUCAGGCGCCAAUCCAAAUUAGGCUCGAAUUCCCUCUGUAAGCAAACAGCAGGACAGGGAACAGAGGCGCCUGCUAAUUUUGAGUGGAUCAACGCUUUCUCUGCUGGAGAUGGCCUCAAGUGAGCAAGGAUCAAGCUAGGCCCCCUCGUGGAAUCAGCUGGGCGUCCAUGAUGCUGGAGUACUUUUCUAGGACCCGAAGUUGAAACCAGGAGACAAAAGAAACAAAGCUUAUUGUGACCAUCCUGGAGCAUACGUCCCAGUUUGGAAGGUGGUCUGGGACAUAAAAACCCCAUGGACAUUCCUCUAAGCUCUUCCAGAACUUCUGGGGUAUGGCACUCAGAAGAAACUUGGAAGUCACACAUUGAACAUGACAGAGCCAUCGCAGACUUGAGCCACUGCUAGCCUGGAUACCUCACCCGAGGAAUGAGAAAUAGACAUCUUACUCGGCAAGCCAUUGGAUUCCUGAAUUCUUUUUAUUACAGUACUUUACGGUAGUUUGCCCUACGCUUCCUUGACAUGUUUCUU